rnacentral:sRNA from 1 species
GGCUAGGAUUAGAGGUGUCAGGCCGUUUAAAACUAAUUGAGCACAACCAGUUACCAAUAUCUUUGUUCCUUCUCCACUCCCUCUGCUUCACUUGACUAGCCUAAA